rnacentral:rRNA from 1 species
AGCGAACGCUGGCGGCAGGCUUAACACAUGCAAGUCGAGCGGGCACUGUCGGGUUUUUUCGGCGGACGGGUGGGUAACGCGUGGGAACGUGCCCGCUGGUUCGGAAUAACUCAGGGAAACUUGAGCUAAUACCGGAUACGCCCUUUUGGGGAAAGGCUUGCUGCCGGAGGAUCGGCCCGCGUCUGAUUAGCUAGUUGGGGAGGUAACGGCUCACCAAGGCGACGAUCAGUAGCUGGUCUGAGAGGAGGAUCAGCCACACUGGGACUGAGACACGGCCCAGACUCCUACGGGAGGAAGCAGUGGGGAAUAUUGGACAAUGGGCGCAAGCCUGAUCCAGCCAUGCCGCGUGAGUGACGAAGGCCUUAGGGUUGUAAAGCUCUUUUAUCCGGGACGAUAAUGACGGUACCGGAGGAAUAAGCCCCGGCUAACUUCGUG